AAACUAGGGAUUAGAUACCCUAUUAUUCUUUAUUUUAAAAAUUUUAUUGCUUAGGUAGUACAAACAUAGGUAUAUAUGUGUUUAAUUUAUUUUAUAUGUUUGAAACUUAAAAGGCUUGGCGGUGUUAUAUAUCCUCCCAGGGGAGUUUGCUUAUUAAUUUGAUAAUCCUCAAUUUAUACUUACUUUUUUUUGAAUGUAACAGUUUGUGUAUUGCUGUCGUCAGUUUAUUUUGUAAAAAUUUUGGAAAAAACUUAAUAACGAAGUGGUUGUCAUGUCAAGUCAAAAUGCAGCUUAUGAAAAAGGUUUAAAGUGAGCUACAAUUUAUAAUAUUUAAUCUGAUUAAAUUAUGUAAUUGAUUUAUGAAGUUGGACUUGGUAGUAACAAGAUCUGUGUAAAUAGUGGGUUUUUGUGAAUUAGGUUUUAUGAUGCGUACACAUCGC
rnacentral:rRNA from 1 species